rnacentral:rRNA from 1 species
GACGAACGCUGGCGGCGUGCUUAACACAUGCAAGUCGAACGGAAAGGCCCUGCUUUUGUGGGGUGCUCGAGUGGCGAACGGGUGAGUAACACGUGAGUAACCUGCCCUUGACUUUGGGAUAACUUCAGGAAACUGGGGCUAAUACCGGAUAGGAGCUCCUGCUGCAUGGUGGGGGUUGGAAAGUUUCGGCGGUUGGGGAUGGACUCGCGGCUUAUCAGCUUGUUGGUGGGGUAGUGGCUUACCAAGGCUUUGACGGGUAGCCGGCCUGGGAGGGUGACCGGCCACCUUGGGACUGCGAUACGGCCCAGACUCCUACGGGAGGCAGCAGUGGGGAAUAUUGCCCAGUGGGCGGGAGCCUGAUGCAGCAACGCCGCGUGCGGGAUGACGGCCUUCGGGUUGUAAACCGCUUUCGCCUGUGACGACGCGUGAGUGACGGUAAUGGGUAAAGAAGCACCGGCUAACUACGUG